GAUCAUGGCUCAGGAUGAACGCUAGCUACAGGCUUAACACAUGCAAGUCGAGGGGAAACGAUAUUGGAAGCUUGCUUCCGAUAGGCGUCGACCGGCGCACGGGUGAGUAACGCGUAUCCAACCUGCCCACCACUUGGGGAUAACCUUGCGAAAGUAAGACUAAUACCCGAUGAUAUCUCUAGACGACAUCUGAAAGGGAUUAAAGAUUUAUCGGUGAUGGAUGGGGAUGCGUCUGAUUAGCUUGUUGGCGGGGUAACGGCCCACCAAGGCUACGAUCAGUAGGGGUUCUGAGAGGAAGGUCCCCCACAUUGGAACUGAGACACGGUCCAAACUCCUACGGGAGGCAGCAGUGAGGAAUAUUGGUCAAUGGGCGAGAGCCUGAACCAGCCAAGUAGCGUGCAGGACGACGGCCCUAUGGGUUGUAAACUGCUUUUAUAAGGGAAUAAAGUGAGUCUCGUGAGACUUUUUGCAUGUACCUUAUGAAUAAGGACCGGCUAAUUCCGUG
rnacentral:rRNA from 1 species